UGCCAGCAGCCGCGGUAAUACGUAGGGUGCAAGCGUUAAUCGGAAUUACUGGGCGUAAAGCGUGCGCAGGCAGUUUUAUAAGUCAGAUGUGAAAUCCCCGAGCUCAACUUGGGAACUGCGUUUGAAACUGUAAGACUAGAGUGCGUCAGAGGGGGGUAGAAUUCCAAGUGUAGCAGUGAAAUGCGUAGAGAUUUGGAGGAAUACCAAUGGCGAAGGCGGCUCACUGGCUCGAUACUGACGCUGAGGUACGAAAGUGUGGGGAGCAAACAGGAUUAGAUA
rnacentral:rRNA from 1 species